CUUUGCUCCAGCCCUGCAAGAUAUUGUCACCUAGCUGAUGCUGUAGCUGCAUCUGCACAAGGCCAUUCCACUGAUCCAUCAGUGUAGCUGCUGUGGGUGAUGGCCAACAUGUCAAAUGCAGAGGAGUGCAAGAGAUCUGUCCCCACACUGGAGACCCAAAGGAUCUAGCUGAAUGCCUGUAUCCCACAGCAGUAUCCCACACAAGUUCAGCUAAAGGCCUAGAGCCCAUGGCUAUGUCUCAUGCAAGUCUGUAUCGAGGAUCUGCACUGCGAAGGGCUAAAGGCCAGUAGUGGAAGCUAGAAGGUCUGAGCUGAUGAGGUGAAGGAUCUGUGUCACCAGGCUGAGGGAUCUGCACUGGAGCCAGGAAGUGAUGCUCAAGGGGAAGAUCAGAGCUCCUCUGAAGAGAACAGCAGCCAUUCCCAGUGACAGGGAGGACACGAGCUCCUCUGAUGGUGCGAACAGCCAAGUUUAUAUCAGGAAAACUAGCCAUGGCAAGCUUCUCCAAGAAAAUCAACAGCACACAAUCUUCCCCUCCAGUUCUCCUUUUAUGCCAUUGGCAGUGAUUCUCAGAUCUACCUCCUAGAAAGCUCUUGGAAGGAACAGGAGACAUGUAACUAGAAUUCUGAAAUCUCAGUUAAAGGAACAGAGAGACUGUGUGCUUCCGGAACAAUGGUGGUUGCCAUGGUAAUGCUGUUUCUGGGUGGAUAAAGCUGGCUGGCGGGUGCUCAUCAAUGCCCACUUGGAGGAAUGUAUUUACUGGCACAGGCAGAGAGGUCUGCACAGGUUGCAGUCCCCACCACAAACAUAGCCACUACAUCGAGAGAGGACACAUCCCAGUGAGAACAUGCUGCUCUGAGCCUUCAACCCAGCUGUGUUCAUCCAGAGGCAGUGACUCCUAAGCAAGAAGCUCUUACACCAGCGUUGUCUGGGACCAAGAUGCACCCCGAAGAAGUGAGUCAGAGCCUCUGUGUGUCUCACACAGUUUAUUCACAACCGGUAGCGGGGGAGGAGGAAGAAAGCAAGCAAGGAGAAACCCAAGGACACUUGAGUGUUAAAAUCAUCCCACUCAAU
rnacentral:lncRNA from 1 species